rnacentral:rRNA from 1 species
UACGGGGGGGGCAAGCGUUGUUCGGAAUUACUGGGCGUAAAGGGCUCGUAGGCGGCUUCUUAAGUCAGGGGUGAAAUCCUGGAGCUCAACUCCAGAACUGCCUUUGAUACUGGGAGGCUCGAGUCCGGGAGAGGUGAGUGGAACUGCGAGUGUAGAGGUGAAAUUCGUAGAUAUUCGCAAGAACACCAGUGGCGAAGGCGGCUCACUGGCCCGGUACUGACGCUGAGGUGCGAAAGCGUGGGGAGCAAACAGG